rnacentral:rRNA from 1 species
ACGAACGCUGGCGGCGUGCUUAACACAUGCAAGUCGAACGGAAAGGCCCUGCUUUUGUGGGGUGCUCGAGUGGCGAACGGGUGAGUAACACGUGAGUAACCUGCCCUUGACUUUGGGAUCACUUCAGGAAACUGGGGCUUAUACCGGAUAGGAGCUCCUGCUGCAUGGUGGGGGUUGGAAAGUUUCGGCGGUUGGGGAUGGACUCUCGGCUUAUCUGCUUGUUGGUGGGGUAGUGGCUUACCAAGGCUUUGCCGGGUAGCCGGCCUGGGAGGGUGACCGGCCACAUGGGGACUGAGAUACGGCCCAGACGGCAACGGGAGGCAGCAGUGGGGAAUAUUGCACAAUGGGCGGAAGCCUGAUGCAGCAACGCCGCGUGCGGGAUGACGGCCUUCGGGUUGUAAACCGCUUUCGCCUGUGACGAAGCGUGAGUGACGGUAAUGGGUAAAGAAGCACCGGCUAACUACGUG